rnacentral:rRNA from 1 species
UACGAAGGGGGCUAGCGUUGUUCGGAAUUACUGGGCGUAAAGGGCGCGUAGGCGGACAGUUUAGUCAGAGGUGAAAGCCCAGGGCUCAACCUUGGAAUUGCCUUUGAUACUGGCUGUCUUGAGUACGGGAGAGGUGUGUGGAACUCCGAGUGUAGAGGUGAAAUUCGUAGAUAUUCGGAAGAACACCAGUGGCGAAGGCGACACACUGGCCCGUUACUGACGCUGAGGCGCGAAAGCGUGGGGAGCAAACAGG